rnacentral:rRNA from 1 species
UGACCGCUGGCGGCGUGCCUACUACAUGCACGUCGAGCGAACAGACGAGGAGCUUGCUCCUCUGACGUUAGCGGCGGACGGGUGAGUAACACGUGGAUAACCUACCUAUAAGACUGGGAUAACUUCAGGAAACCGGAGCUAAUACCGGAUAAUAUAUUGAACCGCAUGGUUCAAUAGUGAAAGACGGUUUUGCUGUCACUUAUAGAUGGAUCCGCGCCGCAUUAGCUAGUUGGUAAGGUAACGGCUUACCAAGGCAACGAUGCGUAGCCGACCUGAGAGGGUGAUCGGCCACACUGGAACUGAGACACGGUCCAGACUCCUACGGGAGGCAGCAGUAGGGAAUCUUCCGCAAUGGGCGAAAGCCUGACGGAGCAACGCCGCGUGAGUGAUGAAGGUCUUCGGAUCGUAAAACUCUGUUAUUAGGGAAGAACAAAUGUGUAAGUAACUAUGCACGUCUUGACGGUACCUAAUCAGAAAGCCACGGCUAACUACGUG